CAGUCGCCGCGGUAAUACGUAGGUGGCAAGCGUUGUCCGGAAUUAUUGGGCGUAAAGGGCUCGCAGGCGGUUUCUUAAGUCUGAUGUGAAAGCCCCCGGCUCAACCGGGGAGGGUCAUUGGAAACUGGGAAACUUGAGUGCAGAAGAGGAGAGUGGAAUUCCACGUGUAGCGGUGAAAUGCGUAGAGAUGUGGAGGAACACCAGUGGCGAAGGCGACUCUCUGGUCUGUAACUGACGCUGAGGAGCGAAAGCGUGGAGAGCGAACAGGAUUAGAUACCCCGGUAGUCCCUGUCUCUUAUAC
rnacentral:rRNA from 1 species